rnacentral:rRNA from 1 species
UACGAAGGGGGCUAGCGUUGCUCGGAAUCAUUGGGCGUAAAGCGCGUGUAGGCGGUCCGGUAAGUCCGCUGUGAAAGUCGGGGGCUCAACCCUCGAAUGCCGGUGGAUACUGUCGGGCUAGAGUGCGGAAGAGGCGAGUGGAAUUCCUGGUGUAGCGGUGAAAUGCGCAGAUAUCAGGAGGAACACCAAUUGCGAAGGCAGCUCGCUGGGACGUAACUGACGCUGAGACGCGAAAGCCAGGGGAGCAAACGGG